CUGCAUCUGGGUCUCGCCCUGUGCCUUUUAUACAGAAAUUAUUGGUAUGUGCUGUCUGGCACUGGUCAAGUAGCCAUUGACUUUGGACUGUGACCCUGAACCUGUACUCCUGAGGUUCUCCAGGAUGGUAGGGUGAGGGGCUGACAUGAUGGAACAUGAUUGAGGAGGCACAAUAUCAGAUGUCACUUUUCCAUUUGGAGAGGGGAUGUCUGGCUGAGGAAGAAGUAGUAUCUCUGUGUCUGAUGAGGGAGAGGAGGCUUUCUAUAUGCCUGAAAGGAGACCCUCCCUGGACCUGGGCAAUGGCCUGAGACCCAUGUACACGGCGCAUGUCACGUGUCCACAGUAAUGUUUCCUGUUUGAUGAUCCUUUCAUCAUCCAUCCUCAAUCAUUGAUAUUUGGUGUGUGUUUAGUAGGCAUGAAAAGGAAAAGGGCUCGAUCAUUGUCCAUGUGAUGUUCUAUGUACAGAGUCCAGCAGCAAAGAACAGAGUCGUACUCCAGCUGCUACUCUGUGGACAGUUGACUGUGAGAUCAAAUCAAAUUUUAUUUGUCACAUACACAUGGUUAGCAGAUGUUAAUGCGAGUGUAGCGAAAUGCUUGUAACCAGA
ensembl:lncRNA